GUACUGAUGAAGGGUUCCAAAAUAGAACGAAACAGCUGUCCGGUAC
rfam:Trichobilharzia regenti genome assembly, scaffold: TRE_scaffold0008075